rnacentral:misc_RNA from 1 species
AAGUCGUAACAAGGUAACCGUAGGUGAACCUGCGGUUGGAUCAUUAACAAAAACUUAAUGAAACUUGAGCUUCUUUUUUGAACUUGGCUUUUAACAAACCAAGUGACAUCAAGAGUUCAACAACCCCAAACCUGUGAACUGUUUUACUGUGAAUCCACAACUGCUCUUUUUUACAAAAAGAAUGGUUGAGAUUUGUGAGUGUAUGUGGCGAGAGGAAAUUUAGUUUUCAGCUCGCCCGUCACUUGUGAUCUCUUCUAUUUCAACUGUAAACCUCUGCAGUGGUGGACCUUGACAACAAACUUUCUUACAAACAAGUGACUUUUUUUUUUCAACUAAAAAAGUUUUGAGAAUCCUAUUGAAGAACGGGAUCUCAGAUUUUUAAAGUAUAAAUGAAAACAACUUUUGACAACGGAUCUCUUGGCUCUC